CCUACGGGCGGCAGCAGUGAGGAAUAUUGGUCAAUGGCCGUAAGGCUGAACCAGCCAAGUAGCGUGAGGGAAGACUGCCCUAUGGGUUGUAAACCUCUUUUAUGCGGGGAUAAAGUUCUCCACGUGUGGAUGUUUGCAUGUACCGCAUGAAUAAGGACCGGCUAAUUCCGUGCCAGCAGCCGCGGUAAUACGGAGGGUCCGGGCGUUAUCCGGAUUUAUUGGGUUUAAAGGGAGCGUAGGCCGGUCUUUAAGCGUGCCGUGAAAUUUUGUGGCUCAACCAUGAGAGUGCGGCGCGAACUGGAGACCUGGAGUGCGCGGAAGGCAGGCGGAAUUCGUGGUGUAGCGGUGAAAUGCUUAGAUAUCACGAAGAACCCAGAUUGCGAAGGCAGCCUGCUGCAGCGUAACUGACGCUGAAGCUCGAAAGCGCGGGUAUCGAACAGGAUUAGAUACCCCUGUAGUC
rnacentral:rRNA from 1 species